rnacentral:rRNA from 1 species
GAUGAACGCUAGCUACAGGCUUAACACAUGCAAGUCGAGGGGAAACGACAUCGAAAGCUUGCUUUUGAUGGGCGUCGACCGGCGCACGGGUGAGUAACGCGUAUCCAACCUGCCCACCACUUGGGGAUAACCUUGCGAAAGUAAGACUAAUACCCAAUGAUAUCCCACGAAGGCAUCCGAAUGGGAUUAAAGAUUUAUCGGUGAUGGAUGGGGAUGCGUCUGAUUAGCUUGUUGGCGGGGUAACGGCCCACCAAGGCAACGAUCAGUAGGGGUUCUGAGAGGAAGGUCCCCCACAUUGGAACUGAGACACGGUCCAAACUCCUACGGGAGGCAGCAGUGAGGAAUAUUGGUCAAUGGGCGAGAGCCUGAACCAGCCAAGUAGCGUGCGGGAUGAAGGCCCUAUGGGUUGUAAACCGCUUUUUCAGGGGGAUAAAGUGAGUGACGUGUCAUUCAUUGCAGGUACCCUGCGAAUAAGGACCGGCUAAUUCCGUGCCAGCAGCC